rnacentral:rRNA from 1 species
AUUGAACGCUAGCGGGAUGCCCUACACAUUCAAGUCGGACUAGUGGCGAACUGGUGAGUAAUGUAUCGGAACGUGCCCUGUAGCGGGGGAUAACUACGCGAAACUUAGCUCUUACCCCAUACCAUUGGAGCGGCCGGUACCGGAUUAGCUAGUUGUGGGGGUAACGGCUCACCAAGUCGACGAUCCGUAGCUGGUUUGAGAUGACGACCAGCCACACUGGGAGUGGGACACGGCCCAGACUCCUACGGGAGGCAGCAGUGGGGAAUUUGGGGCGAUGGGGGAAACCCUGAUCCAGCCAUCCCGCGUGUGCGAUGAAGGCAUUCGGGUUGUAAAGCACUUUUGGCAGGAAAGCGGUUCCUGCAGACUAAGCACCGGCUAACUACGUGCCAGCAGCCGCGGUAAUUC